rnacentral:rRNA from 1 species
AUUGAACGCUGGCGGCAGGCCUAACACAUGCAAGUCGAGCGAGCGGCGGACGGGUGAGUAAUGCCUGGGACUUGCCCAGUCGAGGGGGAUAACAGUUGGACACGACUGCUAAUAGCCCAUCCGAUUGGAUUGCCCAGGUGGGAUUUGCUAGUUGGUGAGGUAAUGGCUCACCAAGGCGACGAUCCCUAGCUGGUAUGAGAGGAGGAUCGCCCAACUGGGAACUGAGACAGGGUCCAGAGUCCUACGGGGGGCAGCAGUGGGAAUAUUGGACAAUGGGGGAAACCCUGAUGCAGCCAUGCCGCGUGUGUGAAGAAGGCCUUCGGGUUGUAAAGCACUUUCAGCGAGGAGGCGUUACUCGCAGAAGAAGCACCGGCUAACUCCGUGCCAGCAGCCGCGGUAAUUC